UACCAGCACCCCGAGUGGUCGGGACGAUUAUUGGGCCUAAAGCAUCCGUAGCCGGUCAUGCAAGUCUUCCGUUAAAUCCAGCCGCUCAACGGUUGGGCUGCGGAGGAUACUACAUGGCUAGGAGGCGGGAGAGGCAAGCGGUACUCAGUGGGUAGGGGUAAAAUCCUUUGAUCCAUUGAAGACCACCAGUGGCGAAGGCGGCUUGCCAGAACGCGCUCGACGGUGAGGAUGAAAGCUGGGGGAGCAACCGGAUU
rnacentral:rRNA from 1 species